rnacentral:lncRNA from 1 species
AUUCCAGAUUAAAGGACUUGUAAGAGGACAUGGCAACCUGUGAGCCCAGACUGGAUCCUGGACCAGAAAAAGGACACUAGUGAGACAACUGGCAGAAUUUGCAUAAGAAGCACGGCCUCGGCCUCGGGUGGUGGAGUCACUGCUGAGCCCAUGACGUUCUGCUUAUAUUCCAUCCCUGCAUUUGGAAGUCGUUCUUUGCCAGGAGGAAAGUGAGGAAAAACCAGCAAUAACAAAACAGCAGCUCUACUGACGGAGGAGGAGGAGCCCAGGAGGCGGCUGGUCAGGGCCCAGGUGUGGAGGGAGGCCAGGCAUAGGCACCCCGACUUCUCUGGAACUACUGACAUUUUCUCGCAAGCAGAGAGGAAGAUGGAAAGGUCAGGGAGGAGAAUGAGGGAGGGGUCUGCCGCGGGGAGCCGCAAACUCCGUGGGGCACAGAAUAGUGCAACCGUCUCCCAUUGAGGAAAUUCUCCCCACCGGGCGGCUUGCCUCUAAACAGGAUAUUGCUUCGAUUUCUUUGAUUUCCCUUCUCUCUCUCUCUCUCUCUCUCUCGCAAAAAAAGUCUGAUUCUAAUAACAGCUAGAAUAUAUAAAUAAUAAUGUUUUAAUGUUAUUGGUUCUUUGUUUCCAACCCAAAGUUCCUCUUCUCUUCCUUUUGCCAAUAAAUAUGAAAAUUGAGGACAUCAACUCUGCUCCUGUCAAAAAGACCCCCUCCCCUCAGAAAAGAGACAA